GUGCUUGCUUCAGCAGCACGUAUACUAAAAUUAGAACAAUACAGAGAAGAUUAGCAUGACCCCUGCAUAAGGAUGACAUACAAAUUCAUGAAACAUUCCAUAUUUUA